ensembl:lncRNA
CGCGAGUAUUGAUCUCCAACCGGAUGCCGGCGAGAGCCUCCCGGCCACACAACUUUACCUUUUCCAUUUUACGGGCAGCGAGGCUUACCCGUUCGAUGCAGUGUGCUCCCAUCGGACGUCGGCGAGAGCCUCCAGGCUAGACAACCUUACUUUUUCCGUACUACUGUCGCUAAGCUGAACUAUCCAAUAUUAGAGUAUCGAGCCCCCAUGGGAGGCCAGCGAGAGCCUCCGUUUCCAUUCUACGAUCGGCGAGACAUACCCAUCCGAUAACGCAAGCAUUAAGCUCCCGCCGAACACCGGCGAGAGUGUCGCAACUAAACAACCUUAACUUUCCCCUCUUAUGGUCGGAGAGACUUACCCAUCUGGUGUUGCAAGUAUUAAACUCCCACCGGAUGCCGGCGAGAGCCUUCGGUCUAGAUAACCUUACCUUUUCUAUUCUAUGGUCAGUGAGGCUUACCUCUUCGAUGCCAGGAGCUCGAGCUCCCAUCGGAUGCCGGCUAGAGCCUCCUGGCUAGACAACCUUACCUUUUCUAUUCUGCGGCCAGCAAGGCUUACCCGUUCGAUGCAUGGAGUUGGACUUCCCAUCGGAUGUAGGUGAGAGCCGCCCGGCUACUCUACAUUGCUGUUCUAUCUUACUCCCGGAGAGGUUUACCCAUUCGAUGCCUGGAGUGGAGCUCCCAUCGGAUGUUGGUGAGAGCCGCCCGGCUACUCUACAUUGCUGUUCUAUCUUACUCCCGGAGAGGUUUACCCAUUCGAUGCCUGGAGUGGAGCUCCCAUCGGAUGUUGGUGAGAGCCUCCCGGUUAGACAACCUUACCUUUUUCCGUAUUUCGCCAGCGAGGCUUACCCGUUUGAUGCUGGGAGCUUGAGCUCCAUUCGGACGUCGGUCAGAGCCUCCUGGCCAGACAACCGUUACCUUUCCAUGUUUUUCGGUCGCCAAACCGAUCUACCCAAUAUGCAAGCCAUCCGAUGCCGUGAGUAUCAAGCCCCCCAUCGGACAUCGGCAAGAACCCCACGGACACACAAUCCCACCUUUUCCAUCCUAUGGUCGUCGAGGCUUACCCGUCCUAUGCCGUGA